AAUUAUUUUGGACUUUGAGAUGUAAACAAUCUCCCCGUCUUUUAUUUCUCUAAAUCCCUUCACAUCUGCGCAUUUCUCACAUUCUAUAAUAUCCUUUGGAACCAACUUCGAUUUACUGUGCUUCUGUCAGACUGCGUAGUGGCCGGGGUGGAUUGUGUUGUGCUGUGUUCGCGAUGCGUGAUUUGGCCACUAAAAUGGCUGAAUUAAAAUUUGAGGCUCCAUUAGCGCAAUUCGAAGAAACCGAUGAAUGGGGUUCGACGGAAUUUCAAACAGCAAAUUUCAAAAACGAAGAAAAUCUCAAUAAUAUAAACAAAAAAAAGCACGACAUUAACGAUGUUUUGAACGACUUUAAGGAAGACAUACUCAAUAAUUCUAUACCCCAAAAAGUGCCCGCUAAGACACUUAUUCUGAAAAACGGCGAGACCCAAUCGGUGGCUGAUAAUUUUACCGAAACUUUUUCUGGAUCUUUGGAGGAUUUAGUAAAUACUUUCGAUGAAAAAAUCACGAAAUGUUUCGGAAAUUACGAGGAAUCUGUAGAAAAAUUGGCACCUGUUCAAAUUAGGUCCCAAGAAGAAAUUAUGAAUGAAUGCCAAAUGUGGUGGACGUUGACGGGAAACUUCGGUAACAUUUUGCCUAUCGAUUGGUCGAAAACGUACGCUAGGAAACUACAAAUCAAUGCUCUGCAUUUGGAUCAGCAGGAACCUCAAACACCCGAAGACGACCUCGAUUUGAGUUCUGAAGAUGAAGCGGUGGCUAGUGAUCUAGAUAUGCACGCUCUAAUUCUUGGUGGAAUGAACCAAGAAGCAGACGAACCCUUAAAAACCGCCGAAGAAGUAAUAAGAGAAAUCGACGAUAUGAUGCAAGACGAUUUGAGCUCUAUUGAUGGAAAUCCCGAUGGUAGAGACGGCCAAAUAGAAAAUAAUGAGGUGUUAGAAAAAGCGAAGGAAGUACUAAGUUCACCAUUAUAUGAAGACAAAUUACGCGAUUUGAGUUUGAGCCAAUUGAACGAACUGUUUCUCGAAUUAGAAGUAUUGAUAAGAGAAUUUUCCGAAACGUUGAUAUCCGAAUUGGCGCUUAGAGAUGAAUUGGAGUACGAGAAAGAGUUGAAGAAUACGUUCAUUUCUCUGUUGUUAGCAGUUCAAAAUAGACGAAGACAGUACCAUGUCGAAAAGAAGAGAUCGGCCAAAAAUUCUUCCACGAAACUUCAAAACGGCAUUGAUCCGAAGUAUUUAACUACUGUAAUUCCUUACCAUAUAAGCGACGGACCACCGGAUAACCAAAGUUUACAAGUCCUCAUUAAAAUAUUGAAAGCUAUAAACGAAGAUAGUCCGACAGUACCGACUUUAUUGACGGAUUAUAUAUUGAAAGUAAUAUGUCCGACAUAGAGGACGUUUUAGUUAAUAGCCGUUCGUUAUUUAGUGAAGAAGCUUUCGAUUGAUGCAGCAGCACAUUAUUUCUACGGUCUCUCUGUCUCUAUUUUACUCAUUGAUAUAUUAAAUAUUUAUUUGUGUUGUAAAUAUUUGAACUCGGAACGUUCUAGUCUAAAGUCUUGCGAGUUGAUUAAAUAAUUUUAAGAUUUUAUUGUACCUUUGAUUGUCUCUAUGCACACAAAAGAAUAAUUUCUAGUGCAAUAUAUCAUAAGUGUAUAUUUUGUUAGUUUUUAAGAAAAUCGAUGGUGAUUGACAGUUAUUUAUUUGACAUUUGGUGGAGUUGACUAAAUUUUCAAAAAAAAAAUGGUGAUUUUAUUAUACAGUGACUAUAUCUCAAAAUAUUAAAUCGUUUUUAAUUAAAAAAUUGAUUGGGAUGAAUUGGGAUGACACACGUAGUUUACCUACACACUAACUAUUCGCUAACACUUAUCAACUAAUUUAUUUGAAUAAACUUUAUAAAAUUACAAACUUUUACAUCCUUGUUUAUCUUAUUUCUGGUAAAAAAUUAGUAAAAGAUAGAUGAAACAUGCAAUCACAGAAGUAGUGUAUGGAAAGUAUGGAAAAGCACCAGGAUACCAUAGAGCAACUUCAGAAAUGAUUAAAAAUAUGGUGAAAAAAAGGAAAAAACGUGACGUUUCAUAUUUUCAAUAAAGUUAUAGAAGAUGAAGCACUCAAACUGGCAGAAGGAAUUAGUAGUAACAAAAUUCAAAAAGGUUGAUACAAAGUACUGCAAUAGCUACCGAGGAAUAACAUUAAUUAGUACAGCGAUGAAAAUGAUGGAAAAUAUUAAAGAAAAGAUAUAGAUUAACAGUAGGAGACACACUUGGAGAAUCUCAGAAUGGAUUAUCGAAUGGGAAGAAGCACCUAAGACGUAUUCACACGUAUUCAAUAUAAAACAGAUGACAGAUAAAGCAAAGCAAGAAAAGAAGAAAUUGUAAGUGUCCUUCUUGAUUUAGAAAAAGCCUUUGAUAGAGUACCUAGAGAGAAAAUAUGAAAGAUAGUGGUCGAAAGAAGAGUUUAUAACAAUGCUGCAAUAUGCAUAGGCAUAGGAGCAUAACGUAUAUAACUUAAAAGUUAUGGCCAGAUUAAUAAGUAAAACACGACGGACCAAUUUUUCAUCUUAUAAACAAUACAGAGUAAUAAUUUUUGCUGUUAUCACCAAAAAUAUAUUGACAUGAGUCAAAUUGACUACCUAACCUAACUUAGUCCUCCAUCCCUUCUAAAAUUGUUAAUUCGAAAUAUUUUGUGUCAUAACAACGACUAGAAUAGGUUUACAUAAAAAAUGUAUAGGACGCUUUUUGUAGAGCCCUUUACGAGGUUCAUGUUUGUUUGAAACUUUUUUCUCUGAAAUUAUUAAUUAGUAAGAUUGUUAUAUCUUUGUAAGGGGCCAUGGAACGAAUGAAACGGUAAAAAUCCCUUCAGGAAUUAAUCUUUAAUCAUAAACUCUUCCGAUUGAUUCAAUAAAUCAAUAAAUUUGAUAAUUUCUAAUAAUUUACUUGCAGCUUUUGAAUCAUAAUAAAAACACAAAUUUUUUUAUCCGAUUUGUUCGAAAUUUAUAAUUAUUUACCACACGUGAAUUAAAUGUUUGCUCUCAUAUAUUCAAUAACAUUAAUAAAAAUAUUACGUGUGUAAUAAAACAAGGUAUAUAGUAAAGAAGUAAUCAAAUUUAUCUUCUAAAAAUAGUGUAAUUGUUUUGGCUCAUCUUUUUGACUAUUUUCAAAAAAAAAAAAAAAACAAAAAUUGUAUACAAGAUACAUUUCUGUCAAUACCAUCAUUUGUAUCAUACAUACAAAUAUUUUAAUUUUAGAUAUAAGGUUAUAUUAGCAAUGAAAUGACAGUUUUUUGACUAAACUUUUACAAUGCUCAGUUUUGUGAUAUAUUUUUUUUAGUUGUAAAUAAGCAAUAUUUUAUUUUUCUAUGUAAUUCUGUACCAUAAAAUACCACAACUUAAUGAUACAUAUAAUAAUUUUAUUUAUGUAAUUGACAGGGCAUCAAUAUUAAAUGUUAUUUUUAUUCUUUUUCCCGAUAUAUAAACUAAUUUUAAAGUCUGACAAUUUUGUUGGAUCCUCAUUUUUUACUAUUUUUCAUUAUUUUUGAUUUAUUUUUAUACUUAUAAUUAAUUUUAUUUGUUAGAUGAAGAUUUUUAUUUAAUAAGUUCCCCAUAAUAAGUAACUUUUUCUAAGAUUUUAUAUUUCCCAGACAAAAUGAAAAAAUAAGAAAAUUGUAUUCAGUAAAAGCUGCUUUAUUCGCGGGGUAUAUGUUCCAUAACUAACCAUGAAUACGAAUAAUUUAUAUGGGAUUAUAGGGGGUACGUUCCCUAUUGAUAAAAUAAUAAAAAACAAACAUAAAAAAACAGUUUAAUUGAAGUUUUUGAACAUUUUUAUUAAUUGUAUUAGCCUUCGCUAAUAGUUUGAAGAUUUUUGUAAUUUUCUCUUAUUGGGCAUUUUUAAAAACCCCACUUCAAUUCAGUUUGAUACACAGCAGUCGCGUAAGUAAUUAUCCUCUUGAAAAUAAGACUUUGAUCCAUAUACAGAUGUUCAUAAAGAAAUCGCAAACCUCAUUUGCCAUUCUUGAACCUUCACCAAAAUUUUUCAAAUUAAAUGUCACGUUUCAAGUGCUCGUUGAGGCUUCUUCUUCAACGAGCUGUGGAUUUAACAUUCCCUCCAAUUGGUUUCAGUCAAAUCUUUAUCUUAAACUGUAAAGAUUGACUAUCGCAUUGACCUUAAAAAAGAAAUUUACAAAAUGGCGUCGACAUGAAAUACCAAUUUUUUGUCCCUUUUUUACCUUUUAGAAUUUUUCAAAAAUACUCCAAAUUUUUGUUUGAGAAACAAUUCCAGUAGAAUAGUUUGUUCCACUCGGCCAGCUUGUACGGUAUGUCACAAAAUCUAUUUUAUCUGACAUAUUCUUGAGGGUCUAAGCUUUGAAAAUAUGCAAAAUAAUCAAUUUCUUCAAAUUUCUAGAUCAGCAUAUCACCCUUAACAACAUACUUUAAGCAAAGUUGUGUUAAGAUCUAUUUUAAUUUUUUUAUUAGUCCAUUUGACGGCAUUUACAAAGAAUAUUGGGUUGUAUACCUCUUGGAAUCCUUUUAUUAAUAUGUCGCGUUAAAAAAAAUUUUCUUAGCAUAAUUUAAAAAAUGAAAUAAACUAUUCAAAAAUAAUAUUUUUAUUAAAAUAUACUUUAAUCGAAAAACUGUCGUUGAAAACCAAUUUUUAUUCGAAAAGUGCGUGAGUUUUCACUCGGAUUGAUAUUUUUGUAAGUGAGAAAAUUUUCUCUGAUAUAUAUGGGAAAAUGAAAAUUGUCGAGUCCUAGUUGUAAUAAAAGAAUCGGAAUAAAAUUAUUGUUUCGAUUCUAAUUAACUAAAAAAAAAAUAAUAAUAAUAAAAAAAUUUAAUAUUAAGAAUACAAAGCUGCAUUCUUCGUUCUUGCCAUAUUGUUUAUGAAUAUUAUUUUUUUGUAAAUUAAUUAUUUUAAAUAAAUAACAAAAAUGUUCGACUUGAUGUUACACCUCUUUCAAAAGAGCAGCCUAUAUAUGUAGAAGAUCUCAUUUCAGUAAAUCUGUUCUAUCUUUAA